GUGCUCACUUUGGCAGCACAUAUACUAAAAUUGGAGUGAUACAGAGAAGAUUAGUACAACUCCUGUGCAAAGAUGACAUGCAAAUUCAUGAAGCUUCCAUAUUUUU